rnacentral:rRNA from 1 species
UACAGAGGUCCCAAGCGUUGUUCGGAUUCAUUGGGCGUAAAGGGUGCGUAGGCGGCGCGGUAAGUCGGGUGUGAAAUCUUUCAGCCCAACUGGAAAAGGGCUUCCGAUACUGGUGGUCUCGAGGGAGGUAGGGGUCGAGGGAACUAAUGGUGGAGCGGUGAAAUGCGUAGAUAUCAUUAGGAACGCCGGUGGCGAAAGCGCUCGACUGGACCUCUUCUGACGCUGAGGCGCGAAAGCCAGGGGAGCAAACGGG